GACGAACGCUGGCGGCGUGCUUAACACAUGCAAGUCGAACGGAAAGGCCCUGCUUUUGUGGGGUGCUCGAGUGGCGAACGGGUGAGUAACACGUGAGUAACCUGCCCUUGACUUUGGGAUAACUUCAGGAAACUGGGGCUAAUACCGGAUAGGAGCUCCUGCUGCAUGGUGGGGGUUGGAAAGUUUCGGCGGUUGGGGAUGGACUUGCGGCUUAUCAGCUUGUUGGUGGGGUAGUGGCUUACCAAGGCUUUGACGGGUAGCCGGCCUGAGAGGGUGACCGGCCACAUUGGGACUGAGAUACGGCACAGACUCCUACGGGAGGCAGCAGUGGGGAAUAUUGCACAAUGGGCGGAAGCCUGAUGCAGCAACGCCGCGUGCGGGAUGACGGCCUUCGGGUUGUAAACCGCUUUCGCCUGUGACGAAGCGUGAGUGACGGUAAUGGGUAAAGAAGCACCGGCUAACUACGUG
rnacentral:rRNA from 1 species